UCGGGCAUGGUCCAGGGACACGACAUCCAGUGCUGGGAGCUACAGACCUCAUCCAGAUCCUUCCAGGGGUGGCCCUGGGAAACCACCUCUGCAUUCCACAAGAGAGAGCUCUUGCCUCGGACACAUUCUAUUUCAGUAAGGGACGCCUAGAGGGCAUUUGCAGUUCUCCAGGGAAACCCCCUGGCGGUGCCGGUGCCCAUGGCGGCACCCGCCUCAACAGCGGCCUCCAGAGCGCGCAGUGCCACGGGAGGACAGAAGGGCAACUUACUACCAGGUGAUUUCCAGGUUCAGCUUGAUGGUUCCAAGGUCAUUGAUGUCCACAGCCACCACCUGCGGCCGGGCUGCAAACAGUUCUUUGGUCUCACAGGUCACGCUGCCUACCAGGAGCUUCCACCUCUGCCGGCCGUACUUCAUGAAGAUCUGGAGCAGACACCACAGGCCUCACGCUCACUGCCCGCUGGCUCCCAACGCCAAGGCAGAGGGCCAGGCGGCCGGCCCCGGGCAGCACCCCCUCCACCCUGUCCUGGUUCCUGGGGAGCUGACGAGAUCGGGAAGGGGCACGUGGAAGGGGAAGGGCUCUGCUUCCCCAGGACGGGCCCUGGAGGCGUCUCCAGUAAAAGACACGGAAAAGACACAGCUGCGCCCUUGGGCUCCUCUUCCUUAGUUCUAUGCCCAUAGGUCAGCUAGGGACUAAUUCUCCAGGGCCCCACCCUGUAGAGACACAAGAGCCCAUCCCUAAAACCUGCCUAGCAUAGAGACCCCCGCCCCUGGGUGACAGCAAGCGGGCAGGGACUGUGACCCACAUGUCCUCUGGGGGUGGGCCUACAGGCUUUCCCUGUCAGGUGGAGGGUGCUGGAGGAGAUGGAUAAGGUCCCUGGUGACAGGGAAACAGAAAAGGACUUUGUACUCGGUGGAGUUGGUGUUUAUAUAGACAGGCCUACAUAUUCCUCUUUAGUCGUGAUAUUUAGAACAGGUCGUGAUCCUGGAUUAGGUCUUAGAUCAGGAAAAAAUAAAAACUGCUACAAAGUACCGUUUUGGGACACUACUAGCAUAAUAUGAAAGUGGACUAUGUGUGAGAAGACAAGAGCCAGAGUGCGCCGCACUGGGAGCUGCGCUCUGCUGGGGACAUCCUCCACCCUCUGGAGGGCGCCAGGCUGCAGGGCCAGGAGGCGGCAUCCCACUCCAAACAGCACAGCUAAUCACCACGGCACGAUGGCUAUAGAUGCUACGCCGAUGUGGCCCAUGGUUAAAAAGAGCCAGUCCAGGUGAAGGGCAAUGAGAGGCCUUGCACCCACCUCCAAAUCUCAUCGGCAUAGAAUGUUUCUCAAGAUAAAAAUAAGACACGCUCAGGAAGCAAACAAGACCACCAGCGCCGGCCCGCAGGUCCUCAGCCCAACCGUCGGUCAGCAGAUACUUACUUCGUACUGGUCUCCAGGGCAGAGACGUGCAAAGCCAGCCAGACCUGUAGGCAAGCAAUUAGGACGUGAGGUGCUGAAAACGUGUCCCCAGAGACCCGGGCCGCGUGUGCGAAAAUCCAAGUGCAAUGCCAGACUUGGGCAAAGCUCAAGUAACAUUCCGGGGCUGUCUGUGUGGAACAGCUUUUUGGGGAAUCCCAUCUAUCAUGGUCGGAGAGGACAUUCCUUGACGGGCGAGGGGGAGGGUUUCUGGGGCAGGGAGGCUGUUGGAGGGUGACUUAGAGUCCCAGGCACCUUGGCAGAUUCCAGAGUCGGGGUAUUCGUGCUGCAAGACGCACUCAGUUGUGUACUGUUCCCGUGAACAUAAACUGCAGUCUGGUUUCCUUCUGGCUCUAAGAUUGGAGACUUCUCCCCGCUUCCCAUUUAAGACUCCCCUGGCCUCUCCCAGCCCACUCCUUCCUGUUCACUCAUCCUUUCUACCCAGCACACUGAGGCCACCAUCUACUGCAUUAGGAAGUUGCCCAAAUGGGCCGUCAUUUACUUGCAACUAGUGAUUAAGAAGACAACUCAAACCAGCCGUCCACUCGACAACAACCUACACCCGCGGUGGGGAGAGGCGACUUCCCUGUCCCGCACCUUCCAGCCAGCCAUACCUAAAAGGGGGCGCCUUGCGGCAAGCCAUUCCUAAAAGGGGGCGCAUUCCGGCAAGCCAUUCCUAAAAGGGGGUGCAUUCCGGCAAGCCAUUCCUAAAAGGACACGCCCCGUUGGAGGCUGGUGUGAUCUCUGCCUGGUGCAGCAGCAAAACCAGGUCUUGACAGACUACAGGGCCCAUCCUGGGACAGCCCUGGGGUGCUGGCUCUGGCGGGUUCCCUUCGUUCUUUCUAUGGCAUCUAAUGAGAGCUCGCUGUGUGUGAGGGUCUGAGUCAGGCACUGGGGUGAUGACUUGGAGAUCAGGAGAGGCUCACAGACCCCCACAGUAUGGAACAAAGCCUGGUCAAAGCCCACAGGAGUGAAACGGACAAGACCCGUGGGCUGGGAGAUGGACUAAAGCAGAGCUCCUUUCUGUCCUCCUACCAGCUAGCCUGCUCUCAUUUGUCUAGCUCCAGUUUCUUCACCUUUAAGAUAGAGAUAACAAUGUCCGCCUUAUAAAAUGGUUGGUAAGGAAAGAGAUGGCAUCUGGCACACGGUAGGUGCUUAGAAUGUGAAAAUGUUUCAUGCCCAUGUAUUGAGCACAUGGUGUAUACUAUUCAUUUAAAAGAUGUCAUCUGUCCAUGCACAGUGGCACAUGCCUGUAAUCCCAGUGACUUGGGAGGCCAAAGCAGGAAGAUUGCAAGUUUGAGGCCAGCUUCAGUAACUAAGUGAGGCUUGGUCUCAAAAUAAAUAAAUAAAUAAAAUAAAAUAAAAAUAAAAGGGGCUGUAUCUCAGGGGUGGAGCACACCUGGGUUCAAUCUUGAGCACAAAACAAAUAGGAUCCCCAGCAAAUUAAUAUCCAUCAGGAAAGCAAAGAGCAAAGAAGUAAUGGUAAAAGAUCACUGCUUUUUCUUACUUUGUGUGUUUAUGAGAAUGUAUUCCUUACAUGAUUAAA